UCUGAAGAUGCAUCAACCGAAGAUUGUUUUAAUGACAGUAAUUCUGAUGAUCGCUGAUGGGUUAGUUGUUCGUGGUCCCUCUGCUCCUCUGUCUGCUCCUCUGGGAUCUUCAGUGGUUUUGCCCUGUUUUGUUGAUGAAGCUUUACCAGUGGAGGAUCUGGAGGUGGAAUGGAGAAGAGCAGACUCAGAGACUCUGAUUCAUCUGUAUCAAGAUGGUGAGAGUCGAGCAGAGGUCUAGCAGCAGGAUUAUCAUGAUAGAGCUCAUUUCUUUACUGAGGAGAUUCAACAUGGAAACUUCUCCCUCCGUCUGGACAAUCUGACAGCUCAAGAUGAAGGAGAAUACAGGUGUAGAGUUCACAGUCAGCAGAAUUUUGGAGAAGCUGUGAUCAAGAUAAAAGAUGUUGAGCAUUUGCUGGUAUCAGGAACAAAUCGAUCUGUUUCUAUACAUGUUGGUGAGGACGUGACUCUGAACUGCUCUGUAGACUCUCACAUCAC
ensembl:processed_transcript